rnacentral:rRNA from 1 species
AUACGGAGGGUGCAAGCGUUAAUCGGAAUUACUGGGCGUAAAGCGCUCGUAGGCGGCUUGUUAAGUCGGAUGUGAAAUCCCCGGGCUCAACCUGGGAACUGCAUUCGAUACUGGCAGGCUAGAGUAUAGUAGAGGCAAGUGGAAUUCCGGGUGUAGCGGUGAAAUGCGUAGAUAUCCGGAGGAACAUCAGUGGCGAAGGCGACUUGCUGGACUAAUACUGACGCUAAGGAGCGAAAGCGUGGGGAGCAAACGGGAUUAGAAACCCCUGUAGUCC